rnacentral:tRNA from 1 species
CGGGGUGUGGUGCAUCGGUAGCACACUCGGUUCGGGACCGAGAGGCAGAGGGUUCAAUUCCCUCCACCCCGA